GCUGCCCAAAUCAAGAGGCUUGGUGUGGCAGUAAGCCUUCAGAUGUGGAACAGAGGUCCCUGAGAAAGGCGAACAGAGUAGAGAAAGUUUUCUUGGAGCUAGAUGACAAAGGCAAAAAGGGCUGGUCUAGAAGCAUUUGUAUAUACUGUCGACAGCGAGUCGAUUUGGAGCUUGGAAACAAACGCAUGAAAACUUCACACGAGAGCUGUAGAGAUGAAACUGCCUCAAGUUCCAGCGUGUUUUUCCAGCUGGAAACCUCUGAGACCAGCGCCGCUGCUGAAGCCGCGUUAGAACCAUUCCAGGACAUUGAGGAAACUUCUGCACUAGGGCAAAUUUUGCCGUCAUCAGUUGAUGCUGAGGUCCAGACAGAAAAUGUUAAUUGUGCAAA